rnacentral:tRNA from 1 species
GCUUAGUAGCUAAGUGGUUAACGCGAUGGCGUUUGAAGUGAACGGUGCCGGGUUCGAGUCCCGGAGUGAAC